AAACCCUGCAUGUCUAGUAUAAGCAUUAUACCGCGAAACUGCGAAUGGCUCAUUAAAUCAGUUAUCGUUUAUUUGAUAGUACCUUACUACAUGGAUAACCGUGGUAAUUCUAGAGCUAAUACAUGCUAAAAAUCCCGACUUCGGAAGGGAUGUAUUUAUUAGAUUAAAAACCAAUGCCCUUCGGGGCUCUCUGGUGAUUCAUAAUAACUUCUCGAAUCGCACGGCCUUGCGCCGGCGAUGGUUCAUUCAAAUUUCUGCCCUAUCAACUUUCGACGGCUGGGUCUUGGCCAGCCGUGGUGACAACGGGUAACGGGGAAUGGGGCGGGGGCGGCGGGCCGGGCGCGGGGCGCGGCGGGCGA
rnacentral:rRNA from 1 species